GGGGGGGGGGGGGGGGCCCGCUGCUGCCGGUGAGCGGCGGCCCCGCCAGACCCCCCCAGCCACCUGCGCGGCACCGCGGCUCUCCCGGCGGGCUGUGCCGCCCUCGCCCGCCCACUGGAGCGGAGGGAUCCCCGGGAAAGGCCAAUCCACCCCCGCCCUGCAGCCGCUGGGCCCCGCUCCUCCUCCGGUUGUUUGCAGAUGCAGAAAGAGCAACACAGACUGUUAGUGUACUGUAGAGUUGUGUGCUGAGACACAGCUUUACACCAUCAGGAUGUUCAGUGAACACAGUAACCUAGGUCUACACCAAUGUUCUUUCAAAGGAUUUGGCUCCAUAUGUUCUCUGGCUGCUGGAUAAGUCUGACAGCCUCCAUCACUGUCAGAGUUGGAGUGGACCACAGCUGGACUUCUUGGUUGCAUGGGAGAAGGUAUUGAGCUCAUAGGGUAAGCUCUGCUGUCAGUCAGUGCUGAGAUUGCACAGAAUAACCAGAAGUCAUUUCUGAGCUGGUGAAACAAGAACACAUGGUGACUUCUGUUCAACUCUUCCCUCUACAUGCCACCUUCCUACUGCUUAUUCAGAAACUAAUUUGACUAUACACUAAGGGCUUAAAAAAAUAAAAAUAAAUAGAAGUAAAGCAAGACCAAAUUCUGCAAGACAAGGUUGAAAGAGGAUUAUGCAUGAGAAGCUCCCAGCUAAACGGAAAUACAGGGCUGUUCUGCAGCAUCCCACUCAUGAAUCCCCUGCAUUCAAGCUUUCAAUGUGUCCUUUGCAUUUGUC
rnacentral:lncRNA from 12 species